rnacentral:tRNA from 1 species
UCCCUGGUGGAUCAGUCGGUAAAUAAUCUGACUGUAAUGCAGGAGACCCAGGUUCGAUCCCUGGGUUGGGAA